rnacentral:rRNA from 1 species
UACGGAGGGGGCUAGCGUUGUUCGGAAUUACUGGGCGUAAAGCGCACGUAGGCGGCUUUGUAAGUUAGAGGUGAAAGCCCGGGGCUCAACCUGGGAACUGCAUUUGAAACUGGCGGGCUUGAGUGCGGCAGAGGGGGGUGGAAUUCCGCGUGUAGCAGUGAAAUGCGUAGAUAUUGGGAGGAACACCAGUGGCGAAGGCGGCUCACUGGACCGGAACUGACGCUGAGGCGCGAAAGCGUGGGGAGCAAACAGG